rnacentral:lncRNA from 1 species
GUGAACUUUAGCCCUAGGAGAUGCAAGCUAGAGUUCACUCAGCAAAGGACCACGAGUGCUUACAAUGUUCCCCCUCACAGGCCAAAGGUAAGAAGAGAGUGUGGACAUAAAGUGUGUAUGUGUGUAUAUAUAUAUAUAUAUAUAUAUAUAUAUAUAUAUAUAUAACACUGGGCUGUUCUGAGUAACAUAAAAUAUUUAGGUCACAAACACUCAUCAAAAUUAGCGUCUAAAUUAGUUAUUUGCAUUUUUCACACACAAACAAAUUUGAAUGUUCACUUUGGCCAGUGUUUGUGACUAAGUGGCUACUAAAAAGACAUAGUCCAUUUGUAAUACCUUGGAUUGUCUGUUUUGCAUAUGGUAUGCUAUCAUGGGGGUAAUUUUCAUUCCUGGGCUACCAUACGCUCUCAAAGGCAACAUAACCCAAUCUGGCAAAUUUCAAUCAAAAAUAUGAAACGGGCAAGCCUUUUAUUUGACCCGGUAACUUUCAAAAACAGUUAAACGUAUCACAACAAGGAUAUCAUCAGUGAAAGUGUGGCAUUUUUCAAAAUACCAUAAAACCUGUACAUGAGGGGGGUGGGUACUGCUUUACUUGUAAGACAUUGCUGAAUAAAAAUAUGUGCACUUUAUUGCAGUAACAGCUAACAGUAUUAUGACAUUCACAGUUAAAAUGCCAAAAAAAUGAAUAAAUCUUAAUUUCUCAAAUUUGUUUAUAUUUUAUUCUUGUUAAAUUAUGUUUAAUACCUAAAUAUUUGACGUUAAAUGUCCUGUUUCUCCUGAACAAAAUGAUAUAUAAUAAGUGUGGCUGCAUUUAAUAUGAAAGAUGUGAAGUACGGUUGAAAGAGAUAUACGGUUUUGUUUACGUUUUGUAUUUAUCUGAAUCUGAACAACUGCCUCAGUCCUUAAGGAGUUAAUCAGAGCAGCCCAGUGUGAAGGGGUAGUGCCAUUGGGGGGUUGUCAUCACCAAUAACAAUCACGCCCCCCUCAAAGUUAGCUUGUUGGUUCAAUCCUCCUUCAGGGCAGCCCAUAUGCAGAGCAGCUGAAGAGCUCUCCCAUGAGAAAAAUAUCCUGCAUUGGCACAGUUCCAACAAAUUUGAUUGUGACUUGUCUCUGUUGUCUCCAAAAGUGGGAUACAAUAGACCAAAGGGCCAGGAAAGUGUAUUGUGAAUGUGUUUGGAGCCUGCUUGUGGGAUUUUAUGUGUGUAGAGUGAGCUGAUUGUGGUGUGGUAUUGUGUAAAUAGGUUUUUUUUUUUUUAUUUGACAAUUUUAUUUUUUUAUUAGGGUUACAGAAAACAAGAAAGGGAUGGUAAUAUCAGUUAGGUUACAAUGACAUUCUUAGGUGCAGUAGCAGAUUUUGCUUGUACAUAUGACAUCCAUUACUUCACAUGUGUUUUGGGCCUGAGCAUCGUGCCCGUGUUUCACAUUGUUAUGUCACUAGGGUAUUUCACAGUAAUGGCCUUACUGCUACCUCGGGGUGUGUUGCCUUGUUCAGUGGUAUAGUGUGGUGAGAUACAGUCCAGAGUCUUGUGCCCUGUAGUAUGCUGGUCUAUCCUAUGUGGUGACUUGUUUGGCUCUGAGCUUAAGUCUGGUUGUAUGUCGCCUAUCAAGCCUGUGUGCUGCUAUCUGUCGUCUUGUAGGGCAGAGGGGGAGGGGAAGGGGGUGGUCAAGAAGUACCCGGGUGUUAUCGGUGUUCUGGUUUUUGUGGGAUUCCCACUUUGCCCAUGCCACUCUCCAGUAUGUGGCUGGUGGUUGUGUGCUCCGUGCCAUUUUUUUCAAAGUGCUUAUUCGUUUCCACUAGCGUUUUGCAUUGGUCUAUCGUCGGUGGUGAGGUCCUUUUCCAUAGUCUAAGAACUGUUAGUGCUGCAAUAAUUAUGUGGUAGAGGAGGUAUAUCUGCCACCUUGGUUUGUUUUCUGGGAACAACAGCAGUACAAAUGUUUCCGGCUGGAGGGGGAGCUCCACCUCCGUGCAUUGUUUUGCCAAGUGUGUCACAUCCAUCCAGAAUUUGCAUUGUUGGGAUCACCCCCAUUAUAUGUGUAUCAUGGAUCCUCUAUCUUUGUGGCACCUCCAGCAUGUGUCCUGCAUGUGUGGGAAGGAGCGUUUGAGGCGUGUGAGGACUAGGUACCAGCGGUAGAGGAUUUUGUGGGAGAGUUCUAUAUGGGACAUGGAUUUUGUCAGUGGUUUGUGGGCUAGAAGAAUAGCCGCACAUUGUGAGUCCGUCAGAGUGCGGGCUAUGUCUUUUUCCCAUGCUAUUUUGAAGGUUAGGGAGUCAGAUUGUGUAGUGGUGUGUUAUGUUAUGUGGCAUAGACUGUUGAUAUAAGUUUCUUAGGGGGUUUGAGUUUCAUGCAUAUUUUCUCCACUUCCAUCAACAGUGGUCUCGAAGUGUCGUCUAGGGGAGUCAAUGUUUGUUUGUGUAUCCAUGAUUGCAGUUGCAUGUAUGGGAAGAGGGCUGUUUUGGGUAGGUUGUUGCCUUGCAGUAUGUGUGAGAGCAUUGUUAUGCCAUAUCGGGGCCAUAUCUUAUGGUUGAAAUACGCUAUAAAGUAUGGUAAAGCCGCCAUGGGCAAAGCCAGUGUGAGCCUCCUUGUGAGUCCGAUCCCAGUGCAGUAUUUGUCCCAGUUUUCGAGUGUGAGAGCUGUGGUGGGCAGCAUGUUGCCGUUAUUGGGCCGCUGGGCUUUAGGGAGCCAUGCUAAUGUUGUUAUUGGGAUUCCCGCGGUACACUUUUGCUCCAUGUCUGCCCAUGUCAGGGGUUGGUUAUGGUGGAAUGCUGAAAGAAGGGGGCCUAUUUUGGGCUGCCCUGUAGUACCAUAUCAGGUCGGGUGCCCCCAUGCAACCUUUGUUGAACAGUUUAUACAUCGUUGUUUUGGCCACCCUAGGUUUAGUGUUGUCCCAUAUGUGGGUGUUUAUGAUUUUUUUUGCAUGUCUGGGAGGUAUGUUGAGGGCAGUUUUAGUGGGAGUGUAUGGAACAUGUAUUGUAUUUUCGGGAGGAUUGUCAUUUUGACGGCUGCAAUCCUACCGGACCAAGAGAUGAACUUGAUGUCACUCAUCAUUUUCUAUUAGUUAGCUUUGUCCAGAGUAGAAGGCAAGGGUGUGAUGUUUAUCCCCAGGUAUUUUAGAUGAUCGUGUCUCCAGUCGUAUUUGGAGGUGUGUUUAAGGUGUAGGACGUCCCUCUGUGGUACGUCGAUUUCCAGGGCUAGGGUUUUGGCGACAUUGAGUUUGUAAUAGGAGCACUCACUGUAGAGUGUGACAAUUUUAUGGAAGUUCGGCAGGGAUAUAUGAGGUUGUUCCAAGGUUAGGAGGAUGUCGUCUGCGAACAAUGACAACGUUUGCUCCACGCCUUGGAGUUGAAUACCAUGUAUGUUCGGGUCAUCCCGGAUCAUUUCUGUCAGGGGCUCUAGGGCCAGUAUGUAGAGUAGCGGGGAGAGCAGGCAGCCCUGACGUGAGCCGUUUGUGAUUGUGAAUUGUUGUGAUAUGAAGCCUCUGUUAGUAAACUUAGCGUAUAACGCCUUUAUCGGGGACGUGAAUUGCUCCUGGAAUCCGAACCUCUGCAGGACCAUGAGGAGGAAGGUCCAGUUUAGCCUAUCGAAAGCUUUCUAGGCAUCCAGUGAAAGCAGGACACUGGGCGUCCUCCUCCCCGCUUCCCAUGCAAGAGACUUAGAAUUUUGCUUGUGCCAUCCGCCCACUGUCUGCCACUCACGAAUCCCACUUGAUUCUCAUGUAUCAGUGCGGGAAUCAUUGGGGCCAUCCACCUUGAGAAGAUCUUUGCCACCAAUUUUACGUCCAUGUUAAGCAGGGAUAUAGGCCUUAGGUUCUGGCUUUUUGUAUGUGGUUUCCCUGCUUUCGGGAGCAUGGCGAUAUGCGCCAUUAGCUUCUCCACAGGCAUCGAUCCUGUCUCUAUUAUGUGAUUGAAUAACUUCGUUAUAUAUGGGGCUAGGGUGGGUGCAAACAACUUGUAAUAAGAGUUCGAAUAGGUCGGUUUUUAAUUGUGUUGUGUAAUACAUGUGGUUAGUGACUGUAGGGUGUGAGAUAGUGAGUGUAUAUAAGGAGCAUAAUAGGUAUAGAAGCUGUAAUGUAUGUGUGUAUAGGUGAUUUGGUGUGUGUGGGGGCUGUUUGCAUAAAUGGACUCUGUGUGUGAGGUGUGCAGUGUGUGUGCAUGAUGGGGUAAAAUGUGAGGGUACAGUGUCUGUGCGUGAGUGUAUGUGUGUAUGUAUAUGAUGAUGUGCAGUGUGUCUUAGGCAUACAUUGUGUGUGUGAGGAGUGCAGUGUGUGCAAGUAUAUUCCUUUUCCCCCUAAUAUAAAAAAAAAAAUAUAUAUAUAUAUAUAUAUAUAUAUAUAUAUUAUAAUAUAUAUAUUUUUUUAAAUAAUGCUUAUCUUUAUAUCCCCCCUCCCUUCUAAUUUUUGCUCAGGGAGGGGGGGAUAUUACAAGCCCUUGUGGUGUGAUGUUGUUUUUUUUUUUUUUGUUUUUGUUUUGUUUUUUUAAUAAUCCCUGGUGGAGAAUUCAUUAUUUUCCACCAAAGAUUAUUAAAAAAACAAACACAUUUCCCUUGAUACAGUCCAUAUACACACACACACCAGUGGCGUCGCUAGCGGGGGGCCGGGGGGGGCCAUGCUGUGCCCCCCCUUGGGCCCCCCCAAAUGCCAGCAACUUGCUGGCCAUGGGCUUCCCUCGGACUGUAACAGCCUGUUACAGCCCGAGGGAGGGAAUGCAGGAGAGAGGUGCUGGGGGCUGUCUGUGGCUGGAGGGAGCACUGAUUGGCUCCCCAGCACAGGCCCCGCCCCCAAACGAAGCCCCGUCGAUAAGCCCCGCCCCCGCCGUAAAGCAGCAGCCCAUGCUGCUGCAGAAGAUGGCUGCCUGACCCCCCAGCAACAGACUCCAGUGACAGGUAGGCUGGGGGGGGGUGUUCACACACUGCCCCCAUACUGCCCUAUACACACACAUUGCCCCCCAUACUGCCCCAUACACACACAUUGCCCCCAUACACACACAUUGCUCCCNNNNNNNNNNNNNNNNNNNNNNNNNNNNNNNNNNNNNNNNNNNNNNNNNNNNNNNNNNNNNNNNNNNNNNNNNNNNNNNNNNNNNNNNNNNNNNNNNNNNCACUCUCCCCCCAUACUGCCCCAUACACACACUGCCCCCAUACACACACUGUGUAUGAUACAGCCCCACAUACAGCCUCCCAUACACACACGCUGCCCCCCCAUACAGCCUCCCAUACACACACACUGUCCCCCAUACUGCCCNNNNNNNNNNNNNNNNNNNNNNNNNNNNNNNNNNNNNNNNNNNNNNNNNNNNNNNNNNNNNNNNNNNNNNNNNNNNNNNNNNNNNNNNNNNNNNNNNNNNUGUGUGUAUGGACUCAGCAGUCUGUGUGUGUAUGGACUCAGCAGUUUGUGUGUCAAUGGACUCAGCAGUCUGUGUGUGUAUGGACUCAGCAGUCUGUGUGUGUGUGUAUGGACUCAGCAGUCUGUGUGUGUGGACUCAGCAGUGUGUGUGUGGACUCAGCAGUGUGUGUAUGGACUCAGCAGAGUCUGUGUGUGUGUAUGGACUCAGCAGACUCUCUGUGUGUGUAUGGACUCAGCAGACUCUGUGUGUGUGUGUGUGUGUGUGUGUGUGUAUGGACUCAGCAAUCUGUGUGUGUGUGUAUGGACUCAGCAAUCUCUGUGUGUGUGUAUGGACUCAGCAGUCUAUCAAUAAUUACAAUUCCAUUGCUUUGCCCAGGGGCCCUUAACUCUGUUAAAAUGGUACUGCUUGUGUGUGUCAGUGAGCUUCUAUUUAGUGAGCAUGUGUGUGUCAGUGAGCUUGUCUUUAGUGAGAUUGUGUGUAAGUGUCCCUGAACUUCUUUGUAGUGAGCCUUCUGUUUAUACAAGUGAGUGUCUGUAGUAAGCUUGUGUGUGAGUCAGAGAGUUUUGUCUGUCAGUAAGCCUAUUUGCGCAUGUCAGUGAGCUUGUGUGCUUACUGUACUAUAUAUAUAUUUUUUUUUUAAUUUUUUUGACUUGUAGGAAUAGCAUACGUUUUUUUCCCAGGGCUGCUUUGGAUUCCCAGGGAUUCCCAGUUUGACUCUGCCAGCGAGUGCACUUUACCGCUGAAUAAUCUGUGUGAGCUGCCGCACACUUUAGCCCUGUUACACGCGUCUGGGAGCUGCUGUUGACAGGUACUAAUAGUCUAGAGAUUGGGGUAUAUGCUCAGCUAUCUGUAUAAUACAGAUCUGUGUGUAUAAAAUAUCCCGGGAUAUUAUACACAAACAGACCUGUAUUAUACAGAGAGCACUGAGUGUCCCAAUUUAUUAUACACACAACCCUGUAUUAUACAGAGAGCACUGAUUGUCCAGGGAUAUUAUACCCAGACAGUAAGUGAUAGCUGUGCUGCAAAAUGUCCUUGGAAUUUUUUUUUCAAAUGUUGGCAACUAUGGCACUGUAUCAAGGAUAAUGUGUUUGGUUUUUUUAAUAAUCCCUGGUGGAAAAUAAUGAAUCCUCCACCAGGUAUUAUUAAAAAAACAAAACACAUUGCGACAGGGGCGGGGUCAAACUGCGACGAGGGCGGGGUUAAAUGUGCCCCCCUACUUUUGUCACUGGCCCUCCAUGUGCCCCCCUGAAAAAUGAAUCCUAGAGACGCCACUGACACACACACACACUGCUGAGUCCAUACACACAGAGACACACAGACUGCUGACCAUACACACACACACUGCUGAGUUCAUAUAGAUAGACUUCUGAGUUCAUACACACACACACACACACGGACUGCUGAGUCCACACACAGACUGCUGAGUACACACACACACACACACUGCUGAGUCCAUACACACACUGCUGAGUACAUACACACACACACACACACGGACUGCUGAGUCCACACACACACGGACUGCUGAGUCCACACACACACGGACCGCUUAGUCCACACACACACGGACUGCUGAGUCACACACACACGGACUGCUGAGUCCACACACACACAUGGACUGCUGAGUCUAUACACACACACACGGACUGCUGAGUCCAUUCACACACACACACACACACACACGGACUGCUGAGUCCAUACAAAGACUGCCGAGUCCACACACACAUGCAGACUGCUUAGUCCAAACACACACAGACUGCUGAGUCCACAUACACACACAGAGACUGAUGAGUCCAUACACACACACACACACACUGUUGAGUCCAUACACACACACUGCAGAAUCCAUACACACAUACAGACUGCUGAAUCCGUACAAACACAUUGCUGAGUUCAUACGCACAUACAGACUGCUGAAUCCAUACACACACACUGCUGAGUCCAUACACACUCACAGACUGCUGAGUCCAUACACACUCACAGAUUGCUGAGUCCAUACACACUCACACAGACUCACACACACAAGCUUCCUCACUAGCAGACAGACAGACAGACACACACACCUGAGCAUAUCAAGCUUACCUGUUGCUGGGAGUCAGACAGCCAUCUUGUUGCCUUUCCAGCAGCAGCUGGUUAACGGCAGGGCGGGGCUUAUGUGCAGGAGGUGGGGCUUAGUUUGGGGGCGGUGCCUGUGCCGGGGAGCCUGUCAGUGCUCCCUCCGGCCACAGACAGCCCCCAGCACCGUUGCAGCUGAGCUCCUCCCCAUUACCUCCCUCGGGCUGUAAUACACUGUUACAGCCAGAGGGAAUAGAAUUUAAGCACAUGGCCAGCAAGUUGCUGGCAUUUGGGGGGGCCCAAGGGGGGCACAACAUGAUGUAGGGGGGCCAUGGCCCCCUCAGCCUUCCCCCUAGUGACACCGCUGACUAAGGAUAUCGUAUAACCGGACAUUAGAACGGCCGGAUUUAACAUAUCCAAGAAUAGUCAAAAUACUUGCCAAGGUCAGGGAUACAGAUUGAGACACAACGAUGAGAGAAAGCCAAAAGUCAAGGAUACCAGAAAUCAGGGAAGUCAAACAAAGCCAAAGUCAAAUACCAGAAAUACUAUGAUCAAGAACACUCUUUGAUAACCAGCUAAGGGAAACCACAAGGGGCCCUGAUCAAAAGGCAAUCUGGGUUUAAAUAAUGGACCUAAAGCUGUAAUUGGCUGUAUGAGACCUCUGACCCCACAACGUGUGUGCACGUCUAUGACAUCUUUGAUAUGGGCAAAUGCUAUUUCUUUAUUAAAAACAGAACCACAACGGCCGGCAUCUCUGUUAACGCUGCACACGCCGGGGACCGGGAUGGAAGGAGGUCAGGCUUUGAUCUGCCACGGGUAAUAGAAGUGUUUGUUAUUUCUGUCGGCAUGACCGCUGUUUUUCAGUACGGCCAUGCCGACAGAAACCUGCGGCACCAUGACAACUAGGAAGUAAUUGUGAACAAUAAUUUACCUAUAUAUACUUGGAUAUUUGAAGACCCUGCCACACUUCUGACCAAGCCUUAAAAAGUGAAACGCGUUAAGUAUGCUCCCUAUAUUCUUAUUGGACAUGUUGGUUCAUUUAAUUUGUUUUUAUACAUAUAUUUUUUAUUUUAUUCUGAUGUCAUAAGUUAACUUUUCUAUUAUAUUUACCUUAUCGCCUUUAUAUUUACCUAUUCAUCCUACUACUUCCUGCCAUCUGCAGUAUUCUAAGGUGGGGUUUGUACCACCCGGGCCUAUAACAUUAGAGCAAGUCCUGCUCUAGCAAUUGUAAAUACAACUCUUUAUUUAUUUAUGGUCUGUACAUACUUACCUCAUUAUUGGAGAUUCUUUCUGUUUCUGUUAUCACAUUGGCCAAUUUUGAGAAUUCUUGCUAUUUGAAUAUGCAUAUAUCCGGAGACUCGAAUCACACUGUCCAAUGCGCAAUCCAGCAGAGCUCUGCAAGAUGUGAGUGAAAUUCUCCAAAGCAAUUCUAUUGGACUUUUGUAUAUUGCCAAACUCUAUUGCACUAGUAUUUGUCCUCUUUUGUUUAUUUGUUCUCUCUGAGGUUUACGUGCUUGUAAUAUCUCAGUGGUUUACAAAAAAAUACUUUAAGGUAUUCUUGUGGCAUGGUGCAUACUUUCUUUUUUGUUUUUUUUGCAAGAUUUAACUGCUAGCGGCCUAUGCCCACGGACAUCACAGCCCACUUUGAUAUAAAGUCCAGGAACUUGCACUCCCGAGUGUUAGAAAAUUAAUUAGCCCGGUGCUGGUCUGCAAGAUUAUCCAAAAUACAGAAAAAAGAUAGCACUCCAGGGACUUCAAAGCAAUGUAAAAGUAAAACUUAACUUUUAUUUAGCAUAUGCUGUGCCAACAACAAAAAAUCUGUUUCAGUUCUAAUGCUGAACUUUCUUCAGGAUACAGAAACAUCAGUGACUGCAGUAUUUAACCCCUUAAGGACACAUGAUAUGUGUGACAUGUCAUGAUUCCCUUUUAUCCCAGAAGUUUGGUCCUUAAGGGGUUAAAUAGCUCAAUAAUUAUGAUACAAGUGAUUGCCAUGAAUGCAGCUGUUGGCAAAAAAUUGUGGGCUUUCAAUGGAAAUUUACAGCGGGUCUCUGUUAGGGAGAUGUGCUCAAUGUGUGCGUUCCAGCCGGUUGUCAGGGAAGCUGCUGGAACGCAACCUCCGUGAUACAGACUCAGCUGUCAUCUGGAGGCAGACAGAUUCGAGUGUCAGAUCGCUAUCCGAGUGCAGGAAUGGCAAGCAGAGCGGUCGGGGGGAAGAGUGACGCCAAUGCAUAAAUGAUAUGUACAUUAAUAUACAUACAGAAAAUAGAUAAAAACAAAAUGGUCAUAUAAAGUUGUAUAAAGCUGUUCUAGUAAGGGGUUUAGCAGUGUGUCAGGAAUGUAAUCACUAGUUAGAGGGAUGUAGGGAUUGUCCUAACUACAUCGGGAUUUAAGCAUCAUGAACUUCAAGCCCUAAUGAUACAAAAUAGCUGUAUACGAGAGGAGUGACAUAUUAUCUGUAGGUGAAAAAGGCCAAAUAAAACGCCAUAAUAGGCGCCACAACUAAAAAAAAAAAAAAAAUCACAACGGUAAAAAAAAUUCUUCCUCUUCACCCAUGGAGAGCACAGCGCAGAAUGAGUAAUGCAGGGCGGGAAAAGGCUUAUAAAGCCUUCCCACAUCCUGCAAUUAGGCUCAGAGCGCUCUGAGUGGUUGGUUUAAAGCCAACCAGAGUGCUCGGACAGGUAAAUGACAGGGACGGGGCUUCAUUUGGGUGAGGAGCCUUGCCGGUGAGCUAUUUAUUACAAGGAGGGAGCUGGUAACACUGCCGGUUUCCUCCUUGGUUCCUUUUUGUUGUGCAUGCGCACUGUUAUUUCUCCAUACUGUCGGGGUUAAUUCCCUUGCAGUACAGAGUCUAUUAAACAAAUGAAACUAAACAAAAAGGUAAUGCAUUCGGCAUUUGCCCUUCUGUUUCGUUUAUAUUUAGUUUGUAGGGCUUUCAUUUACGUUUUAGUAAACGAAUAUGAAAACACCCGAAUUUUCGGACGAAAUCAUAUUUGUACAAAAACUAAUGCACAUGUCUAAUGCGGAGAGAUUGCCCACAAAACAGGGCCUAGGCACAGUGGAUUCUGCCGAGCCGGGCAGCUGCUCACUGUUACCAGAUUGAGACAACCAGCUACCAUUCCGUUACUGUUCAACCAGAGGAAAGUUGGGAAUCCUGCAUAAAUCCUGCAUGAAGCAGACCCUGUCCAAGCAGCCUCCGAUGACAGACAGCACCACCGGCAAACCAUACAGCUAGAAGGAAAUUAGGUACAAGGGCUAAGAGUCAUUGUAGUGAACCUCACCCUAGUCCGCAGACACCUGGUACCAGAUGCAGCACAGACCUGUAACUUUGUAGCCGUUCGAGUAGCAGGGGAAUGACUACUUUGGGCAAGCUCACCACCGAUCCAAACUGCAGAACUAUACCCAGUCACCAUGAGACAACAAGCCCGCAUCAUGGACCGUUGUUCACCUCCGGAGACUCUGGAAGAAAGCCCUGGUUCCAUAAUCACCUGGAGGAAUUAACCACAGCUGUGCGAACAAACUUCCAGGCCGCAAAGAGCCGCCAACGCAGAUGGUAUGAUUGGGGAGCCAGGGACUGCAACAUUCAGGUGGGACAGAAAGUUAUAGUGUCUUCAUGCAGGACAGAAAGUUUUAGUGUUUUAGUUUUAAAUAUGUCUGCAAUGACAAGCUGCAGGCUGCCUGGCAAGUUCCCUACAAGGUGGCAGAGCAGAAAUGCGAUACCACCUAUGUGACCAGCCCUAGCUCUGGAGCGAGAGGGUUACACAUGCUCCAUGUGAACAUGCUGUGAAGCCCUACCAUGAAAGAGCAGAGGAUGUGGCAGCCAUCUGUGCCCCUGUCUCAGAGGACUUUGAUGACCUUCCCCUACCAGAUCUCCUACAGGAGGGAAGUCAGACAGGUGAACUAGCGGAGGUCCAGUUGGGAGAUAGGUUGGUCCCACAGGAGCGUGUCUAGGUACAACAAUUACUAGACGCUAAGAGGGCUACCUUUUCGAAUGUACCCCGAUACACUCCUCUGGCCACUCACCAUGAGGGAAACAACAGGUCCGUUACUAAGGCAGCCUACCUACUGAAUCUCUGAAUCGGUAAGGGAGAGCAUGCAUAAGGAGAUUGAGGAGAUGCUCUGAUUCAGGGUGAUUGAGCCGACUGACAGCCCCUGGGCCUCCCCAGUAGUCCUAAUACCGAAGAGGGAUGGUACGACUCGCUUCUGUUAUGGGCAUAUGCAAAUAUUACAAGUGUUAAAAUCAAAAGUUGUAUUUCUUAAACUGUGUACUUUGUCUUUAAGAGAUUUUGCAAACUGACAAGUUGUUAGAAAUGGAACAUAUUGUUUUUUUGCUUCAGUUCCUUUAUCCACUCCUCCAGGGGCUGCUUUCCCAGGAGGGGCAUCCGCAGUGCCACUUGUGUCUGCUGUCGCUGCUCCUCACUGGGGAGUCCCUCGCUUCCUGGUACCAGAUGCCUUUGCGGACUGCAUCUCGAUCGUCCAUGACACCCUCAACAUAUAAAACUGCUGGUUCCAUCCUGCUGCUGUCAGGGUCGCUGUACUCAUACAUGCGUUGCCCUCAAUUUGUAAAUCCAGAGAAUGGUGUUUCCUUGUAGCUGCCCUUCUGGGCUGUGGAAAUGAUCCCACCGCUUGCCACCAAUUGUAAUGGCACCCCCAGGCAUAAAAAGGGGUUAAAAGCCGUUGUUUAGUAGAUCCAGAGACCCAGGCACAUCUACUGUAGACACCAAUCCACCGAACCGGAGAAGCAUGUGAAUGCCAUAAACAGCCGAAUAGGAAAAACCAUACGAAAGGUUUACACUCCUAGCAGUCGAACUUUAACAGCAUCCAAUAAAUCCCCCCCAAAAGAAUGAGACAAGGCUCCGUGUUGAGGGUCAAAACAGGAACUGGCAGAGCUGUGGGUUUAUUGUUCUUAUAUACACAUUAGUACCACCCACAGGGUUUUGGAAAACAACCAAUAAACAUGUAAAAUACACUCAUACACUCCCACACAAAAUCCUCCCCACUGCCUGUGAUACAAUUACCUUACACAAUGGGUAAUGUAAUUAUCACAGGUAGAGAAAUACAGUUUUUCCGCAUUAUUCAUAACUUAAAAGUAUGCAUCACAUUCACAUAAAACAUACAUUUUCAGAAUCAGCAUACUCCAAAUACAAACACACGUCAAAAUCAUACAAAUUGGUCCAGUGGUUCAAAAGAUAGAUCGUAGUCCUUUGUAACCAAAUGAGGCAUGGCUUUUCUGCCCAAAACCAGUUCCACAGGGUCUUCUAUCCUGAAGAUAAUUGGGAAGUAAUCCAAUUAUCUCAAAGGACAGAGGCAAAACUCCAUUGAACACAUAUCUCCAGAUAGCUCAGAUCUGAGCACACAUUAUUACUGAAUGGCGCUCAGAUCACACACAUAUAGUUCAAUUGCCAUGGAGCCAAAGUCUUUCCCAUAGUAUUUCAUGGCAGGAGCACUUGGCCCAUAUAGGAGCAGUCCUAGGUAGGAUCAAGGAAGCAGGCUAAACCCUUAAACCCAGCAAGUGUCAUAUAGGGAUGGCCGAGGUACAGUAUCUCGGUCACUGAGUGGGAUACUGGCAGCAGAAGCCUGAGCCCACUAAGAUUGAGGCAGUGGCCCAGGGGCCUACCCCCUGGACCAAAACCCAUGUAUUAGUUUUUUUAGGGAAGGCAGGGUAUUACCGGAAGUUUGUCCCCAACUCCAGUGCCCUGGCCAAAUCCCUGACUGACCUGACCCAUAAAAGCCUUCCUCGACAAGUUGUCUGUGCCCCGAAGUGUGAGCAGGCAUUCCAGCGGUUAAAUCAAGCUCUUAUAAAUACCCCCAUCUUGGCAGCUCCCAAUCCAACUAAACGUUUUUUGGUGUAGAACAUCCCGUGACUUACAUCAGUCGCUAGCUGUUACCCAGAAAAGUAAGCUACACCACCAUUGAGAAGGGAUGCCUGGCUGUGGUGUGGGCCCUGAAGAAAUUGCAGCCCUAUUUGUAUGGACAACCAUUCUCCAUGCUCACAGCUCACAACCCAUUGGUCUGGCUGAACUGGGUGGCCGGGAAUAAUGCCAGGCUGCUGCGCUGGAGUUUGUUGUUGCUGCACUUUGAAUUUACCAUCCAUGACCACCCCGGAAAACAAAAUUGAAAUGCCAACGGUUGUCCAGACAGACUGAACUUGAAAAAUGAUCUGUGGGCACCCGCAGACAUCACCAAGCCCAUCCUUCUGGGAUCAAACGGUGUAUGCCGGCUUGUGAUUUCGGGGGAGCAGUGUAUAAAAAUCAAUUCCCUGGUGUUCGGUUGUCCGUACCCCUUUGUUCGUCUCCUGAACGGAUGGUGUGUGGUGCCCUCUUUUACACCUCUUCGAACACCGACAUUCCCUGGCUGUUAACCACAAAUUGGUGAUUAUCUUGAGUGCCUUCCUUUUUGUCUCCCGAACACAGGCAGCAGUACCUGAUCAUCGAACACCUGGAACUAUUUUCGGCCUCGCGUUUCCGUGAACCCGGGCAGAAUUCGUACUGCUGCUUGCUCAACUUCCCGACCAUCUAGACCAGAGGUUCUCAACCAGUCCUCAGGACCCCCUACCAGUCCAGGAUUUGGGGAUUACCUGGGUGUGUCUCAGGUGUUUAGAAAAACGGAAAAUAACACCUUAGACUCUAAGGUGUUUUUUUUUCUUUUUCUAAACACCUUUGACACACCCAGGUAAUCCCUAAACCCAGGACUGGUUAGGGGUCCUGAGGACUAACGUUGAGAACCCCUGAUCUAGACGAACGAUGGGAGGAGCUUUCACUCCAUAACAGCCAGGGGGAGCAUUCGUUGUGUUCAUACAGGAACCCCCGAAAGCCAGAAAACCUUAUUUGAACAGCAAUGUUGUUCUACCAAACCGAUCUGAGCACUUUUUUGAUAUAUUGUGCCCUCAGACCGGGGCUAUUCGGGGCUAUGAUUUUUGUGGGGUUAUUGUAUUUUUGGGAUAUUAGAAAUUAUGUGUGUAAAUUUCUGAAUUUAAGAGAUCAUUGAGUUAUUCUAAUUUGAGCUAAACUAUCUCUCAAACACAAAGGCUCUUGGGAAGAAACCCCUGUGUUCUUUAUGUGAAAUCCCCAUGCUAGGGGCCAAUGCAUAAAAAGCCAUGUGUAGCAGAAUAAAAUCAGUUGUACUCCCGUGUUUUCCAGUUCCUGGGGAUGAGGUGCGCUAUUCACUUGGCUAUUUCUUGUUCCUGACUUCCAGUAUUUGUGAUCCAGUGGAGGAAAGUUCCGGUCAGGACUAAGGCUCUGCUACACAGAUGCGAGGACAUCAAACACAUUAACUUUCAUUAGGCCUUCUGUACAGAAGGCUACUGUAACGGAGCUCCAGUAGUCCAACCAAGUACCUCCGUUGAUGGAUGCUCCUAGUGCUUCCCCACACAUGAGAUGAGGCUCUAUGUUGAGGGUAAAACAGGAACUCAGCAGUCGGAGUGUUUAUUGUCUUAUAUGCAAGUUGUUACAAAAUGUUACCUCCUACAUGGUCUUGUUGCACAGCCAAUCAAACACAUAAUAAUACGGUUAAACACUCCCAGUGAGGACACACAAACCCUCCCCUCUGCCUGUGAUAUAAUUAGUGUACACAAUGGGCUAAUGUAAUUCUUAUAACUUUAAAGUAUACAUGCAAUAUUAAUAAAAGUGACAUAUUAUUAACCAGCAUACUUCAAAUACAGACAUUCUCAAAAAUCAGACAGUUCCCUCCAGUGAUUAAAAAGUUAGAUGGAAGUCCUUUUUGACCAACCGCAAGCAUGGCUUUCCUGCCCAAAAGAGUUCCAUAGAUUUGGGCUUUGCAGUCAGUCUAUUUUACACAAAAAAAUAACUAAGUCCCAUUCGAAUUCACGAACGGGGCACUGUGUGUUUGAAUCAUCGAACGCUCUUCGAUUUCAACCAAAACGUCAAAGUGGAGGAGAAGGUAAGGGUCAGCGGUGUUCAUGCAAAUGUGUAGCCGAUUUUAGUUCCAUGGAUUUGCUGGCACACAACGCUGACCACGUUCGACUAACAAAGAUGGCCACCGCCACGUGUUCGACUGUAUGAAUGGCAGCCACCCAGCUGUCGGCAAUUAACCUGUAGUUAACUGUCAGCCUGGGAGGUAAAUUGCCUGCACACUUCCACUUGCGUGUGGUCCGUCUGUGCAGUACUUGGCUCGGUAAGCCCCAUUUACCGAACCAAAUAGGAAAAUUACAUGCACAAAGUAGUUUAACAGUCUGGGGACACUGUCUUAAAGGGGCAUUGUCACAAAAAGUCUCAAUAUGCCCAUAGACUGUUCUUAAAGGGCCAUACACCCCAGGGCCAUAAUCAUGAGGAAGGAGGCUGGCAAUCAGGCUUCUCCAUAAGCCAGGGGAACAGGGUAGUUUGUCACGUGAAAAAACAGUGACAAAAGGCCUUUUGUCACAACUACAUAUACAUUACAAUUUAAUGGGGUGAUAACAUUUACCCAGUGCAGUUUUUUAGGCAUUCUAUACUAAUUUUUUUUUAUUUUUUUUUCUCAUAAGUCAAAACUGGUAUACUCUAGUAGAAAUAGCAUGAAGUGACAAUAAAAAACACCCCAAGGUUAUGGCUCUGUAAAAGAUCAGGAAAUCUAACAAACAGGGUAUAUAUUGUCAUUAACCCCAAUCAUGCCUUGCUCCAGCAAAACACAAAACAAAAUGGAUACUAUAAAACAACAUGGCUGCCACAGUCUCUGGAUUAACAGUUUCAGGAUUUUAGCAUUCACAAAUUCAACCACUGUAGCUUUACCUACAAAUGAGGGAGUUGUAUUUACAUUUGCUCUGCAAUGUUUCACAAUAUUUUGCACCAUAGGCGUGCGCAGCCUAUUGCAUUAGUGUGUGUACCAUAAAGCACAAACACACGCCGUGUGUAUAUGUAUGUGUGUGUGUGUGUGUGUGUAUGUAUGUGUGUGUGUGUGUCUGUGUGUAUGUAUAUGUAUAUAUAUAUAUAUAUAUAUAUAUAUACACACAGACACACACAUACAUACAUUGCUGUGUGUGCUGCAUGAGGCUGGUGUGAGGGUGUUGUGUAUGUGUGUGAGGGUGCUGUUUGUGUGCUGUAUGUGUGUGGGUGCUGUAUGUGUGUACUGUGUGUGUGUGUGGGUGGUGUAUGUGUGAAGGUGCUGUAUGUGUGUGCUAUGUGUGUGCUGUGUGUGAGGGUGCUGUAUGUGUGUGCUGUAUGUGCGUGUGCUGUAUGUGUGAGGGUGCUGUGUGUGUCUGUGUGCUGUGUGCGGUGUAUGUGUGCUGUGCGUGAGGGUGCUGUAUGUGUGUGUGGGUGCUAUGUGUCUGUGUGAAAUCCGGCGGAGCUGCUGGUUGAGCUCCCCGGGUCCUCUCCUGCCUCCCUCACUGCUGCAGUGGGGAGGGAGGCUGAGAGCAGAGCCGGCGCUCGGAUAGCGCUGGCUCUGCAUGAGCCGACAGGGGGACCCUGAGAUCUCCCUUGCCGGUCUCAAUCCAUAGGCAUGCCACGGGGAUUAGGGUGUGCCCAGACACACCCGGCACACCCCGUGUGCACGCCAAUGUUUUGCACAUGUGCACAUAGGAUUGGGGUGGAAGAAAUUUUAAAAUGAGGUAGUAUAUUGUUUUGUUCCAACCACCAGUGCUGUUGCUCUUUCCUGCAAUGGCUUCUGGUGCACAACAGUCAAAAGCAGUUCUGAUUUAAUUUUUACAUUUUGUUAAUUAUUUUUAUUAUCGAUGUGCACAAACAGAAAUAAAUUAAAAAGAAAUGAUAGCUUCUUAUUGUUAAUGUAAUUGUCAUUAUUAUAAAUGUAACAAAUUAUGAUUUACCAUAUUUUACCACAGAUAUAAGCUCUUUAAUUCAUAGCAUGUUCCAUUUACUUUAUUUUUUUUUUUUUAGACAGCGAAAAGUGUAUGAAGUGUUAU